AGAGUCCAAAGGGAAGUUACCUCACACCAAAUAAUUGCAAGAGAAACCUGGAAAUGGCUGGGGGCUGCAAAUAAAUGGUGGCACCAGAGGAACCAGAAAGCAGAGGACUGAAAUGGAGUAAGAACUACACUGUUCAAAAGGUUCUACCAAAUGAGACAACACAGAACAGCAGCAAUUUUUCUGAUGGCCAUUGGCUGGCAGCCACUGCCCACUCACCCCAGAAUGCCCCUAGGAUUGAUGCAACAUCAUCAUGUGAAGUGGCUUCACACAAUUGCC